rnacentral:rRNA from 1 species
GGGGCUUAACACAUGCAAGUCGAGGGGCAGCAUGGCCUUAGCUUGCUAAGGCCGAUGGCGACCGGCGCACGGGUGAGUAACGCGUAUCCAACCUGCCUUACACUCUUGGACAGCCUUCUGAAAGGGAGAUUAAUACAAGAUGUUAUCAUGAGUAAGCAUUUUCGCAUGAUUAAAGGUUUACCGGUGUAAGAUGGGGAUGCGUUCCAUUAGAUAGUAGGCGGGGUAACGGCCCACCUAGUCUUCGAUGGAUAGGGGUUCUGAGAGGAAGGUCCCCCACAUUGGAACUGAGACACGGUCCAAACUCCUACGGGAGGCAGCAGUGAGGAAUAUUGGUCAAUGGACGAGAGUCUGAACCAGCCAAGUAGCGUGAAGGAUGAAGGUUCUAUGGAUUGUAAACUUCUUUUAUACGGGAAUAAACGAAUCCACGCGUGGAUUUUUGCAUGUACCGUAUGAAUAAGGAUCGGCUAACUCCGUGCCAGCAGCCGCGGUAAUACGGAGGAUCCGAGCGUUAUCCGGAUUUAUUGGGUUUAAAGGGAGCGUAGAUGGGUUGUUAAGUCAGUUGUGAAAGUUUGCGGCUCAACCGUAAAAUUGCAAUUGAUACUGGCAGUCUUGAGUACAGUUGAGGUAGGCGGAAUUCGUGGUGUAGCGGUGAAAUGCUUAGAUAUCACGAAGAACUCCGAUUGCGAAGGCAGCUUACUAACCUGUAACUGACAUUGAUGCUCGAAAGUGUGGGUAUCAAACAGGAUUAGAUACCCUGGUAGUCCACACGGUAAACGAUGAAUACUCGCUGUAGGCGAUAUACAGUCUGCGGCCAAGCGAAAGCAUUAAGUAUUCCACCUGGGGAGUACGCCGGCAACGGUGAAACUCAAAGGAAUUGACGGGGGCCCGCACAAGCGGAGGAACAUGUGGUUUAAUUCGAUGAUACGCGAGGAACCUUACCCGGGCUUAAAUUGCAACCGAAUAUGGCGGAAACGCUAUAGCUAGCAAUAGCGGUUGUGAAGGUGCUGCAUGGUUGUCGUCAGCUCGUGCCGUGAGGUGUCGGCUUAAGUGCCAUAACGAGCGCAACCCUUGCCGAUAGUUACUAACAGGUCAUGCUGAGGACUCUGUCGGGACUGCCAUCGUAAGAUGUGAGGAAGGUGGGGAUGACGUCAAAUCAGCACGGCCCUUACGUCCGGGGCUACACACGUGUUACAAUGGGGGGUACAGAGGGCUGCUACCACGCAAGUGGAUGCCAAUCCCAAAAACCUCUCUCAGUUCGGAUUGAAGUCUGCAACCCGACUUCAUGAAGCUGGAUUCGCUAGUAAUCGCGCAUCAGCCACGGCGCGGUGAAUACGUUCCCGGGCCUUGUACACACCGCCCGUCAAGCCAUGGGAGCCGGGGGUACCUGAAGUGCGUAACCGCAAGGAGCGCCCUAGGGUAAAACUGGUGACUGGGGCUAAG